UACGUAGGGGGCAAGCGUUGUCCGGAAUCAUUGGGCGUAAAGAGCGCGUAGGCGGCCCUGUAAGUCCGCUGUGAAAGUCAAGGGUUCAACCCUUGGAUGCCGGUGGAUACUGCAGGGCUAGAGUCCGGAAGAGGCGAGUGGAAUUCCUGGUGUAGCGGUGAAAUGCGCAGAUAUCAGGAGGAACACCGAUGGCGAAGGCAGCUCGCUGGGACGGUACUGACGCUGAGGCGCGAAAGCGUGGGGAGCAAACAGG
rnacentral:rRNA from 1 species